AAAGCCCAAAAGAGAAAGCUCAAAGAGGACAAUAUUUGCUAGCGAUGGUGGGCUAUUACACAAUACGUGAGGGAGCAGAUUAAGAGUAAAGGUUUCAAGAC